rfam:Gossypium raimondii chromosome 7, whole genome shotgun sequence.
GGUUCCAUGGUCUAGUGGUCAGGACAUUGGACUCUGAAUCCUGUAACCCGAGUUCAAAUCUCGGUGGAACCU